rnacentral:misc_RNA from 1 species
GUCCAAAAGAAAUCCAACUUUCUGGUGACAACCAUUUCAGGAAACGGAUUGUGCAACACCAGUUAGUUUUCAGAAGAAUUAUCUUCGAGGCUCAAAUUGGCACUCAAAAAGACCACAUGCAAUCCACAAUGACACAUUGCAAGUUGCACCUCAGUUCAGUCUUUUAUGCAUUAGUAGAGCAAUUUUUCAAAUUCAGUAAAAGAACUAACACAGGACAAAUAAUUUGCUUGCACAGAAGAUUGAAUCUUUGUUCCUUGAAACAUUAAAACAUUAGGACCUUUGUUCCUCAAACCCUUAAAACAUAAAAAUGGAACCUUUUGAAAGUCCCAAGAAUGAUA